UAGGGAAUCUUCGGCAAUGGAGGCAACCCUGACCGAGCAACGCCGCGUGAGUGAAGAAGGUUUUCGGAUCGUAAAGCUCUGUUGUAAGUCAAGAACGAGUGUGAGAGUGGAAAGUUCACACUGUGACGGUAGCUUACCAGAAAGGGACGGCUAACUACGUGCCAGCAGCCGCGGUAAUACGUAGGUCCCGAGCGUUGUCCGGAUUUAUUGGGCGUAAAGCGAGCGCAGGCGGUUUGAUAAGUCUGAAGUUAAAGGCUGUGGCUCAACCAUAGUUCGCUUUGGAAACUGUCAAACUUGAGUGCAGAAGGGGAGAGUGGAAUUCCAUGUGUAGCGGUGAAAUGCGUAGAUAUAUGGAGGAACACCGGUGGCGAAAGCGGCUCUCUGGUCUGUAACUGACGCUGAGGCUCGAAAGCGUGGGGAGCGAACAGGAUUAGAUACCCUGGUAGUCCACGCCGUNNCGAUGAGUGCUAGGUGUUGGAUCCUUUCCGGGAUUCAGUGCCGCAGCUAACGCANUAANCACUCCGCCUGGGGAGUACGACCGCAAGGNUG
rnacentral:rRNA from 1 species